UACAGAGGUCCCGAGCGUUUGUUCGGAUUCAUUGGGCGUAAAGGGUGCGUAGGUGGCGCCGUAAGUGGGGUGUGAAAUCCCGGGGGCUUAACCCCGGGACUGCAUUCCAUACUGCGGUGCUUGAGGACUGGAGAGGAGACUGGAAUUUACGGUGUAGCAGUGAAAUGCGUAGAGAUCGUAAGGAAGACCAGUGGCGAAGGCGGGUCUCUGGACAGUUCCUGACACUGAGGCACGAAGGCCAGGGGAGCAAACGGG
rnacentral:rRNA from 1 species